ensembl:lncRNA
CGACGGUCCCGCACCGCUUCCGGCAGCGCUACGGCGCCACCUGGCGGCGGAAUCGGGCGGGCGGAGCGGGGAUCACCGCGCUUCUGGUCUCCAGAGCCAAGGAAGGAGCAGCCAUCGGCACUCACGAGACUCUUAUUUUGCCUUGCCCGGAGUAACAGCGCCUGACCGUUUCCAGAAGUUUGUCCUCGUGUUUUCAUGGCCGUGCCGUGGGAGGACUGCACGCAGCUAUAAUUCUUCAGGAUUCUGUCACAGAGUCAUAGAAUCAUUGAGGUUGGAAAAGACCACGAAGAUCAACUACCCCAACCAUCAGUCUGUCAACCUCACCGUGCCCACUGACCACGUCCCUCAGUGCCACAUCCACGCUGUUCUUCAACACCUCCAGUGAUGGUGACUGCACCACCUCCCUGGGCAGCCUGUGCCACUGCAGCACCACUCUUUCUGAUAAGAACUUCUUUCCUAAUAUGCAACCUGAACCUCCUCUGGCUCAACUUGAUGUCAUUACCUCUGGCUCUAUCACUGUUACCUGGGAAAAGAGGCCAACCCCCACCUCACCGCAUCCUCCUUUCAGGUCACUGUAGAGAGUGAUGAGGUCUCCCCUGAGCUCCUCUUCUUCAUACUGAACAACCUCAGCUCCCUCAGCAGCUUCUCAUGAGACUUGUGCUCCAGACCCUUCACAGCUCCAUUGCCCUUCUCCUGACAGUUCAGGGCCUCAAUGUUUUAUUGGAAAGAACUGAGAAUCCACAUUUUCUCAUUUAAAGAAGAAAAAGCUUUGCUCUGCUCCUUGAAGGCACUGCCAUGCCCUAGUCUCAUCAGAGUUGCUAAGGAGCACAAAUCUUUGUAACUGAAGAGCCAUGGAGGACACUGGCAGAGGCCGAAUAAGGAUGAAGAACACUGUUACAACUGGGGAAAAAGAAAAAAAAAAUCUCAAAAGGGAUCAGCCAAAAUAUUUAGGUUUUGUAAAAUUACAUUUUGUUUGUUAGAUUUGUAUCAACUUGAAACAAACAGUUCAGUCAUAAAGAGGUUUCACAACGUUACCCUGAAGCAUUUGUAACUGAUCUCUGGGGCUAUUUUAAAGGUUGGUGUCAUGGAACUCAGAAGAAAGUUUAUGGAAGGGGCAAACACUAAGGCCAACUAUGUGCUGAGUAAGCUUGGUAUAAACAGGAAGAGAUAGUUGAAAAUCCCAGAUUUAGCAAUAUGCUGUGGUAGAGACAGACCAAUCAACAUCCUGAAACUGAUCAGAGAUCUCAGUUCUGGAAAAUCUAGUUUAAUGUAUGAAAAUAAGAUCUGCUUUUUGAGGGGAAAAAAAAAAAAAAGAAAAGAAGAAGAAGAACAAUAUUUUUAAUAGACUUUUCUAGCACCAACCAAAUCCACUCAGUUUAGAAUCUGUUUUCUUUCAUUCCUUUGCAUCCUGGCUGAAAGUAAGGUGAUGAAUUUCAUGACUUCCUUUCCUCCUCAGCAAACAACUGUGUUCUAAGUCAUAGUCACUUACUGUGUCCUACUAAGAAACCUUCAAAAGCACUUCUCUCAGAUGCCAAUGCUGUGUAAAAAGCUACCAUUUUAUUUUGAAUGAUUGCCUUUCCCCUGAAAACAUGUUCUGUUUUUUGUUUGUUUGUUUGUUUGUUUUGUUUUGUUUUCCCCCUAAAAAUGCAGUGUUAAAUUAAAAUGAUAGCUACAAAUUCACACACUACCGGCUUCAGGAUGUUGACUACUUCAUUCAGAGCACAAAACCACCGCAGAAUGACUCAUCUGCAGCUAAAUAAUCUCUCUCUCUUGUCACUGGUAGCCCACAGCAGUCUGCAGCUUGUGCUUUCCGGAAGCUAAGAUUUACCCCAUUAAUGCCUUUGUUUUGAAAACCAUCACUUUUAAAGCUAUACAACAAAAAUAGGGAGUAAGUGAAUUAAAAACAUACCUUUUGAGAUCUAAUCUUCUCCAGAAAUUCUGGACUAAAGCUUACUCAAUCUCAGUCUUGUUGGGAGAUAUCAGUCCAAAUCUGACUACUCUCAGAUAGAAAACUAUACAGCUGUAACUCAAGAGUUACCUCUCCUACUUCUUAAUGGACUUUACAAUAGUUUUGACAUGUCUGCUCUUUUUUGAGAGUGGAGAAGACUUUAUCUGUUUUGUGGUUAGACAUCUGGUUAGAUAUAGCAGUCUAGCUAACCAUAUAGGAAACCAAAACAAACUGAGCAAUAUAAAGUAUAUUUUCUCAUCUUCGGUAGUACCUGACAACUAUGUUGAAACAUACUGCUUGUCUGAAAUAUUAAUGCAAUAUCAUAAAUCCCUCACAGCAUAACUGAUUGCAGAUUGCUGUUUUUAUUGCCAUUCCUGAAUUUAUAUCACAUGUGAGAAUAGAUUAUACGUGCUUCUGUUACUGAGAAGGUUGCAGAACUUUGACAUGUGACUAAGAAUGAAGGGAAGAGGUACCACAAGCCAACCUGAACCCUUCAUAAAGCCUUCUGCAGAAGUCACAGGUAGUGUUUCCAAUUCCUCCUGUAAAUGUCCAAUUGUGGCAGAACCUAUGUCUGGCAACUUCUUUGCUUUUUCCAGCCAUUAACAUCUUUACCAUAGUGCUGCCCAGCUGCCACAUAACUACUGCACCUUCUUCACCCUAUUUAACCACCCACUGCUUUUCUUUAAGCAACAAACUUCCUCUUCUCCCUCUGUUCCCUGGGAAGAUGUAGUUUUGCUUAGGAGCAGCCCUAAGUCUGUGAAUUCCAAAGGAUAUGUUGUUACAGAGGAUCUCUCUAGAUAUCUGGAUCUAGUUACUUGUAUAUAAGCCCCAGAAAUAAUCUCUAAAUUCAAAUUAUAAGGCCUUGUUUUUGUAUUAUAAACAUUCUCCUCUCACAGAUGUUUUAGAGCUUUUUGUUUCUCUUUUACACUGGAAACACUCUCAAGUUUAAGGAAAAGGUGAAACCACAAGGAGCUAUAAGUAUUCAUAUAUGUAUAUAUAUCUAAUUGUGUUCCCAAUUUUAUUUGGGGCUUUUGAAUGUCUGUGCAUUACAGCCAGAGGAUGCCUGGGACAGAUUUUUUACUCACAUUUAAAAAGUACAUAUGAUGUCAGAGAAAAAUCACUUGGUCUUGCUGUAGUGUUUGCUAAAGGAUUGUCAGGUGUUGGUAAUAAUUUUUAAGCAUUCAACGAUCAAGGCUGCUGAAAUACUAACAGUUUUAUUCCUUGUGCUUCUGUAUAGCAAAAAAACAGAUUUUGAAAAUGAACCAAAGUACUGUGCUUCUCUUUUGUUCAAGCUGCAGACUUCCAUUGCUGUCGUGUUCUCAUUUCACUUCUCUUCCCUCUUCCAGUAAGUUCUUUACCAGAUUAGGGAAGAAGAAGCUACUGUAACAAUUCUCCACAGAAUCUGUCUGAAAACUAACCAAAGGUAAUGGAGACCAACCUAUCCAGGAAGGGAGUGCUUUCUAAGAAGGUCUUUUGUGUUCCACAUCACUUUACAGCAAAUGAUCUUGAAAUUAAAAAUUGCAGACAGCAUUUUCUCAUUUUUAUUUAGAUCUCCUUCAGAAUCUAAGUUCAGCUAUGCUUCUUGCACACCCUUAUUUUUAAAUAACUUUCUUGUAUAUGCAACUUACACGAUUUAUUUAGAUUUCUGUUUAUGACCAAUGUAAAAACAGGGGAAUGGGACAUAUUCUGAACGUCUGUCUUCUUCUUUGACUUAUUUAACUACCAUAACCUAAGUCUUUUGAGCUAGAGAUCACUCUGAUGUCUACUACUUGCCCAAACACACUGCUUUCCCAAGAACGGCCCUUAAGAGCACAGCAGCUGUGCAUGCAGACUUCUCAGGCAGCAUGGAGGUUCAGAUCACAAAGUGGAAGGACUGAAAGAAAUCAGUAUCAAGGCCAUAUUGAUGGAACAAAGACCAUAGCAGCAUCUAUUUCAGCUCCUCUCCGAGGAAACGAGGACUAUUUACAAGCCAGUCCAAAUCCUUCUCAGCCCCUUUGUUUAAAUACUAGAAUUGAUUCAGAAGACAAAAAAUGGUCUGUGUUUGACAGACACAAAUACCAGAGAAGUGAAGCAUGCAAAUAUUCAACACCCUUUUUUUUAUCAAUAGUCUGAGUUAAAUGCUUAUGUAGCUAGAAAAUGUGACUGCCCAGCUGUAGCUUCAGAGUCUGGCCUUUCAAACCAGCCCUUCCACCCAAGUUAGUUCUAGCUAUGCAUAUUUCUGCUAGAAAGAGAAUGCCUGCCAGUGACAAAUAAAUAGUGUUCAUAUCAACAGUUCAAAGAAGUCCAUGGAGUACACACCCACAAGACAGUAGGUGUACAUUCAAGUAAUAAGCACAUUUUGGGGGAUCAAAAUACAGUUAUGGUCUUUAAGAGGAGCAGAAUGGGAAGACAGGUUUAGAAAUCAGUGUAUAAACAGCCUCAAAUUGGAGAUGCCAAGGUAAAGUUUAUUCUAGGACAAAAUAUUUUAAAAAACAGUGAGUACUUCUUGGGUGACAGAACAAGGCCAUGAGCGUCUUACAGGAAUUUAAUUCAGAAGGUAAUGUGAUAAAGAAAAUACUAUUAUAUUUUUUUUAUAUUCAUUACGUAUGUAAAUAUGCAGUGAAUUUAAAACCCACGGAGAGAAGACUGCAAAUGAAAUAUAAGUGGGAAUACAACUACCACCAGCAUAAUCUAUUUUGGAUCUCUUGCAUGCUUUCAACUCACACACACAUCUUAUUAUUUGCACAUCCUGUCUUUAUUUUCCUAAUAACUCUAAUACAAUAUUACCCUGACAAAUGUAAAUUUAUAUCAAUGUUUUAAAUAUAUUUAGGAAGUAAUUCAAUAAUUUUGUUAAAUCCAGAGCAAUAACAUUAAAGACCAUGUUUUCAUGCUGGUGGUGCUUUAAUAUAAUUUGUCCCAAGCACAAUAAAUCAAAAUAUGUUCUCUGAAAUACCAUACUAAUGUUCUCAAACACAGUAGAUAAAAUGUCUCCUCCUCAACUUUGUAAGUAACCUGUUUUUAUUACUCCUUGCAAAUGCUAAUGAUUUUGUAAAGAACAAUGUAAAAAUACCACUGGCAAAACCAAUUUAAAUAUCACUGCUUACAAAUCUUGUGCUCUAACUACUUCCUGCAAUAAAUGUAUCACAUGAGCAAUAAUAAAUGUUUACAUAGCAACAAAGUGCCUUUGCUAGUGAUCAUCAAACAGCAAGCUGCCACCUGCUUUCAGACCAAAUAAUGCCUGGGCAUUGCAAAAAGUCAUGUGAAGAAUUUAAGUACUCAACUCUCACUUGAGAGUGAGUUAUUUGCUACUUACAGAAAUAGAGCCAGUAUAGUUUUGCAGAACAGGGGAUGAAAAGUUUUACAUUUUUCCAACAGUGUCCCCUACACUGCUCAUUGACAUUUAGGUGAUG